rnacentral:rRNA from 1 species
CCUACGGGAGGCAGCAGUGGGGAAUAUUGGACAAUGGGGGCAACCCUGAUCCAGCCAUGCCGCGUGUGUGAAGAAGGCCCUCGGGUUGUAAAGCACUUUCAGUGAGGAAGAACGCCUGGUGGUUAAUACCCAUCAGGAAAGACAUCACUCACAGAAGAAGCACCGGCUAACUCCGUGCCAGCAGCCGCGGUAAUACGGAGGGUGCGAGCGUUAAUCGGAAUUACUGGGCGUAAAGCGCGCGUAGGUGGCUUGAUAAGCCGGUUGUGAAAGCCCCGGGCUCAACCUGGGAACGGCAUCCGGAACUGUCAAGCUAGAGUGCAGGAGAGGAAGGUAGAAUUCCCGGUGUAGCGGUGAAAUGCGUAGAGAUCGGGAGGAAUACCGGUGGCGAAGGCGGCCUUCUGGACUGACACUGACACUGAGGUGCGAAAGCAUGGGUAGCAAACAGGAUUAGAUACCCGAGUAGUC